CCUACGGGGGGCUGCAGUGGGGAAUAUUGCACAAUGGGCGCAAGCCUGGUGCAGCCAUGCCGCGUGUGUGAAGAAGGCCUUCGGGUUGUAAAGCACUUUCAGCGGGGAGGAAGGCGGUGAGGUUAAUAACCUCAUCGAUUGACGUUACCCGCAGAAGAAGCACCGGCUAACUCCGUGCCAGCAGCCGCGGUAAUACGGAGGGUGCAAGCGUUAAUCGGAAUUACUGGGCGUAAAGCGCACGCAGGCGGUCUGUCAAGUCGGAUGUGAAAUCCCCGGGCUCAACCUGGGAACUGCAUUCGAAACUGGCAGGCUAGAGCCUUGUAGAGGGGGGUAGAAUUCCAGGUGUAGCGGUGAAAUGCGUAGAGAUCUGGAGGAAUACCGGUGGCGAAGGCGGCCCCCUGGACAAAGACUGACGCUCAGGUGCGAAAGCGUGGGGAGCAAACAGGAUUAGAUACCCGAGUAGUC
rnacentral:rRNA from 1 species